UACGAAGGGGGCUAGCGUUGUUCGGAUUUACUGGGCGUAAAGCGCACGUAGGCGGAUCGUUAAGUCGGGGGUGAAAUCCUGGAGCUCAACUCCAGAACUGCCUUCGAUACUGGCGAUCUUGAGUCCGGAAGAGGUGAGUGGAACUCCUAGUGUAGAGGUGGAAUUCGUAGAUAUUAGGAAGAACACCAGUGGCGAAGGCGGCUCACUGGUCCGGUACUG
rnacentral:rRNA from 1 species